GACGAACGCUGGCGGCGUGCUUAACACAUGCAAGUCGAACGGAACGGCCUCUUUCGGGGGGUACUCGAGUGGCGAACGGGUGAGUAACACGUGAGUAACCUGCCCUUGACUUUGGGAUAACUUCAGGAAACUGGGGCUAAUACCGGAUAGGAGCUCCUGCUGCAUGGGGGGGGUUGGAAAGUUUCGGCGGUUGGGGAUGGACUCGCGGCUUAUCAGCUUGUUGGUGGGGUAGUGGCUUACCAAGGCUUUGACGGGUAGCCGGCCUGAGAGGGUGACCGGCCACAUUGGGACUGAGAUACGGCCCAGACUCCUACGGGAGGCAGCAGUGGGGAAUAUUGCACAAUGGGUGGAAGCCUGAUGCAGCAACGCCGUGUGCGGGAUGACGGCCUUCGGGUUGUAAACCGCUUUCGCUCAUGACGAAGCUUUGUGUGACGGUAGUGGGUAAAGAAGCACCGGCUAACUACGUG
rnacentral:rRNA from 1 species